rnacentral:lncRNA from 1 species
UGCAUGGUUUUAAGUUAUGGUUAUAUGUUAUCUUUAAAGACUACAAGAUAUGUAACAAGAUUGUUUAGAUAAAUAUGAUAGUAGAAUGAGCUAGUCUCAUGGUUAUCCUAAGUUCAAGUAAAAAUGAAACCAAGUUAGGAAACAAUAUUUGCUCUUAUAUUAAGAACAUAUGAAAUGUAUGACUGAUGGGUAUGAAUCCAUGAUUAUAUAACUGUGUAGGGAUACACGCAGUGCAGAUAAGCUUUAAGCAGUUAAGUCGUAGUUGAUAAACUACGAAUCAGGCAAGUCUUUCAGUUCCU